GCGCACGUCCCCUCCCCCGCGCAGGGAGCCGGGCUCCCUGGCUGCUGGUGCUUGCGGGUGUUCCGCGUCUCUGAGCCCCCAGCCGGCGGCCCCGCCGCUCUCCCGGGGCGGCUGAAGGAGAAGCUAGUAGCGCCUCACGCGCCUCUAGCCUAUGAUGAGGCAGACCCGGGCCGUGGGCCGCUCCCUCCUCUCACCUAGGCUCGGUGGCCAGCUGCUCUGCCUCUGUCACAGGCAGCUCUGGGAUAAGAGAAUGGACUAUGAGGAGGGAAGCUAUGCAUCCUCAGCAGUAUGUGAUGUGUUGGACUUCACCUGUUAUGAGGACUUAAUGGGUAAAACCUCACCCAUGGAGUUGUCAGUGAUACCUAAUGCUGAUGAACAGCAGCAGGAGGUGGGGAUAUAUCAACCUUUGAAAGUCUACUUGAGAGUCAGACCCUUCUCUAAAGCAGAGCUUGAAAGCAAUGAAUCUCAGGACUGUGUAAUUAUCGAAAAUCCAGAAACAGUAACUCUACAGGCACCCAAAGAAUCCUUUACAAUGAAAAACAGUGAAAAGGGGAUUGGACAGUCUGUUCACCAGUUCACCUUCACUAAGGUCUUUGGUCCAGAAACUACUCAAAGUGACUUUUUUGAAGGCACAAUGAAAGAGAUAGUAAAAGCUUACAUUGAUGGAGCAAAUGGACUGGUGUUUAGCUAUGGGGUUACUAAUGCAGGCAAAACAUUCACUAUUCAAGGUUCUCCAAAAGAUGGUGGUAUUUUGCCUCGUUCUCUUGAUAUGAUCUUUCACCACAUAAGAGGAAGACAAUAUCUGAAGAUGAACUUUAAACCAUACUUAAGCAAUGAUGUAAAGAAGCUAGAUGUGACACAGGUUAAACAAGAGGAAAUUAUAAAAGCUGCUGUUCUUGCUUCUCUGAAAGAAGACACAGAAGAUACUUUGAAAUCUACAAUUCAGAGUGAGUCAUUAUGUAUCUUGGAAUCUGUAUCUUCUAGCAGCUGUACUUCAGCAAGUCUGCCUUCUGACCCGCUAGUGGAGGACUCCAUUUUACUUGACGCCAAUGGGACUAAGCAUCAGAGAACACAGUCUUCAGUGUGGGUUUCCUUCUGUGAAAUUUAUAAUGAGUAUGUAUAUGACCUUAUGGAUGUAUUGGCUAUAUCAAAAUAUCAAAAACGCAAAGUUCUAAAAAUCUGUGAGGAUCAAGGGGGAAACUCUUAUAUAAAAGACUUAAAGUGGAUCAACGUUCAGAGCACUGAAGAGGCUUGCAAAAUACUAAAAAUAGGAAACAAGAACCGAAGCUUGGCUUGCACUAGAAUGAACCAGCACUCAAGUAGAAGUCACGGCAUAUUUUCUGUCAGACUACUAAGACUAAGUGAUGAGGCUGAGCCUCGUAUUCUUGGAGUUUCAGAAAUGUCUCUCUGUGACUUGGCUGGGUCUGAACGGUGCAAUAAGACACAAACUUUUGGAGACAGACUAAAAGAAGCUGGGAAUAUUAAUAAUUCUCUUUUUAUUCUUGGGAAAUGCAUUGCCGCACUGAAGCAGAAGCAGAAUCCUAAUGUGAAACACAGCUAUAUUCCAUUCAGAGAGAGUAAACUCACCCGCCUGUUUCAACCAUUCUUCUGUGGUAAAGGCAAAGCUUGUAUGAUUGUCAACGUUAAUCAGUGUGCCUCCACUCACAGUGAGACAUUACAUGUAAUGAAAUUUUCUGCUACAGCCAAACAGGUUAUUCAGACAAUCCACCCCCAAACCUUUGGAUAUUUUGCUCCAAAACUGGUUGGGAAGGAUGGCAAGCCUAUAGUACAUUUUGAUGCCAACAUAUCUGCUGAAGAGGUUCCUGAUGAAGAUAUCGAUACCUCCUCUGAAGAGGAAGUGGACAUUACCAUCAUGACCCAUGAGGAGCUCUUGAAAACUACUGAGAACCUGAAGAAGACGCUAGUUGCAGAAAGGCAGAGUAAACUUCUUCUUGAGGUGCAGAUACGUAAAGAGAUGGCAGAAGCCAUGUUUCAACAACUGUUGGAAACCGAGGAAACCUGGAGUAAACGCUUGGAAGAUAUGAGAGAAAGUUAUGAGGAAAAAUUGGAGAAUAAAUUUGAAAUGUAUAAGGAAGCUAUAAAGAAGCAUGCAUAUAUGUGUGCAAUGGAACAAAUUGAAGACCACUAUGUUCCAAUAGAAGAGUUCAUAGUUGAACAAGAGAAAGUUGAGGACAGAGAUAGGAAAAUAUUAGAGUUGCAACAAAAAUUUGGAGAGUGGUCAGAUGGAUUGUUGGCUUCGGAAAUCCCAAAUUCAGAUGUGUUGACUGCAGAAGACAAAGUGAAAUCAGAUCUUAAAUAUAAGGAGAUGCAGAGAACUUCAGAAGUAUUGCAGAGACAGUGCGAUGAGAAAGAUGAGCUUAUAAAAUCUCUGAAGCUUAAAAUGCACAAAUUAAAUGAAACCUUACAAGAAGUGAAUGAAGUCUGCAGAAAAACAACCGAGGAAAACAAUAGACUGACGCACAUGGUAAUGCUCAAGGAACAAGAAAUGAGAAGUCUUCAGAACUGGGCUAAACGUGUCCUUGAGCUUGAAGCAACAGUGUCUCUUCUGCAAGAAGAACUAGAUGAGAGAAAAAAGCACUUGUAUUCAGAAGACCUUAAGGAGCAAAAACCCAAGAGAGGCUUGUUUGCUAAUCUAAAAUCUACAGUAGCAGGCACUUCUAAAACACCUGUUGGCAAAACCUUGGGGAAAUCUGAAGACUCUCCAACCAUGUCAAGAAAACAAGCUACUUUUGCACGUAAAGUAAAAGAGUAACUCUAAUCCUUGAUGCAUUAAUAUGUCUGUAUUGACAAGGCCCUUCAGCUGUUUUUUUGACCUGAUGAAGCAACAGUUGGAAUUUGGGUGAAGAAAAAAGGGUAGUAUAGACACAGCCUUACCAUCAAUGUAACUGGGAAGAUAAGCUAUUAAUAGGAAUGACGACAACUUUCCUUCUGUCAAAUGUCUUCUUUAGUUACUAAAAAAGACACGUAAAUGUAAACAUAAAUUGGAAUUCUUGUGUACCUGUCGGUGUGAGAUGUGAUCAUCUGCUGUGGAAACACAGCAGGUAUGGAUUUCCACUUUGCAGGAGAAUAGGUGCCUUGUGUCAAGCAUCUGAACACUGACAGGAAUGCAGGAUCAGACCCUUGUACACAGAAAACUGUCAGCCUGGCCUAUGAAGUUGGCUACUUACUGUAAUUUGCAGGAUGAACUACAGUGGUACAAGUUUUAAAUUUGAAGAGUUUAUUAAAAUCACCAUACAGUAAAAAUAUUUACACAGUCUGUGGUGGUUAAUCUGCACAUUGACUGACUUCAUUCAGAACCUGCUAUGCUUUACUAAAAAAGAAAAGCAAUGAAUGUUUAUACUGAUCACUGUUUGGACUGCAGGUAUACUAAAGCCUCAGCAGUAGUUAGCCUCUUUUUAAAGCUUCCGUAAGUACCCUUUACCAUAACAUGUUUUGGUUGUAAGAACAGCCCAGUCCCACUUUAUAUAAAGGAGGACAGAAACAGGCAGUCACCUGGUAAUUGCACUAGUUAUGCUUUUUGAUAACUAAAACAUACUCAACUUGAUGAUUCACUUCAUGACUGAGAAUUAGUUCAAAUACAGUUUUGUUAAUAUGCCUGGAUCCUAACAGACUAUGCAUUAAGAACCAACAAUUAAAAACAUGACUGAUUUACUUGUUACAUAGUUGGUGUUAUGAAUUAGUAAUAAUUACAUACUGAAAAGCAAAACCCAGGGUGCUAACUCACUUCAAUGUAAUUUCACUGAUUACAGUAUGCUUAUAAGGUAUGGUGCAUUUUAAAACAUUCAUUUUGGCUAAUCUUUAAAAUGGCUUUCAGUUCAAUUAAUUGAAACAGCAAAAAUGUGAGGAAUAUAUUAAGAUACUUAUAGAAAGCAUUUUCAUGGGUAAUAGAUGGAUCACAGUGUUUCAAACUACUAAGGGCCAGAUCCUUCAAAAUAUAGGGGAGAUUUGCCGCUGACUUAACCUGGGGAAAAAUAGAUUUUGAGCAGGUGGUUCCAGGCUUAAAUUCAUGUGCUCUAUAUACAGAGCAAGACAAUAUGCUGUCUUUUUUUUCUGACACAUCUAGCACAAUAAUUACUGUUUAUAAUGCAAUAAUAUUGCAGGUCUUAUUCUUACCUUGGUGCCUGUAAAAGACACUUUUCAAAUCUUAACAGUGUAAAUGCUUGAGCUGUGCAUAAAUGCCAAAGAGAAUUAAAUUAAGUGUAAAAAUUACCUUUCAGAAAGGGUUAAAGAGGAUGAUUACAUCCUAAAUAUUUGAAUCUUGCAACAAGAUACUGUUCUCCAGAUAUUGAUGUAAGAUAACCAGAGGCUAUAAAAAAAAUAA